rnacentral:rRNA from 1 species
GAUGAACGCUGGCGGCGUGCUUAACACAUGCAAGUCGAACGGAAAGGCUCCUGCUUGCAGGGGUACUCGAGUGGCGAACGGGUGAGUAACACGUGGGUGAUCUGCCUUGCACUUCGGGAUAAGCCUGGGAAACUGGGUCUAAUACCGGAUAGGACGAUGGUUUGGAUGCCAUUGUGGAAAGUUUUUCGGUGUGGGAUGAGCUCGCGGCCUAUCAGCUUGUUGGUGGGGUAAUGGCCUACCAAGGCGUCGACGGGUAGCCGGCCUGAGAGGGUGUACGGCCACAUUGGGACUGAGAUACGGCCCAGACUCCUACGGGAGGCAGCAGUGGGGAAUAUUGCACAAUGGGCGCAAGCCUGAUGCAGCGACGCCGCGUGGGGGAUGACGGCCUUCGGGUUGUAAACUCCUUUCGCUAGGGACGAAGCGCAAGUGACGGUACCUGGAGAAGAAGCACCGGCUAACUACGU